GGUUAAGCGACUAAGCGUACACGGUGGAUGCCCUGGCAGUCAGAGGCGAUGAAGGACGUGCUAAUCUGCGAAAAGCGUCGGUAAGGUGAUAUGAACCGUUAUAGCCGGCGAUGUCCGAAUGGGGAAACCCAGUGCAAUUCGUUGCACUAUCGUUAACUGAAUACAUAGGUUAACGAGGCGAACCGGGGGAACUGAAACAUCUAAGUACCCCGAGGAAAAGAAAUCAACCGAGAUUCCCCCAGUAGCGGCGAGCGAACGGGGAGCAGCCCGGAGUCUGAAUCAGCUUGUGUGUUAGUGGAAGCGUCUGGAAAGUCGCAGGGUACAGGGUGAUACUCCCGUACACUAAAACACACAGGUUGUGAACUCGAAGAGUAGGGCGGGACACGUGGUAUCCUGUCUGAAUAUGGGGGGACCAUCCUCCAAGGCUAAAUACUCCUGACUGACCGAUAGUGAACCAGUACCGUGAGGGAAAGGCGAAAAGAACCCCGGCGAGGGGAGUGAAAAAGAACCUGAAACCGUGUACGUACAAGCAGUAGGAGCCCACUUGUUGGGUGACUGCGUACCUUUUGUAUAAUGGGUCAGCGACUUAUAUUCUGUAGCAAGGUUAACCGUAUAGGGGAGCCGCAGGGAAACCGAGUCUUAACUGGGCGUUAAGUUGCAGGGUAUAGACCCGAAACCCGGUGAUCUAGCCAUGGGCAGGUUGAAGGUUGGGUAACACUAACUGGAGGACCGAACCGACUAAUGUUGAAAAAUUAGCGGAUGACUUGUGGCUGGGGGUGAAAGGCCAAUCAAACCGGGAGAUAGCUGGUUCUCCCCGAAAGCUAUUUAGGUAGCGCCUCGUGAACUCAUCUUCGGGGGUAGAGCACUGUUUCGGCUAGGGGGUCAUCCCGACUUACCAACCCGAUGCAAACUACGAAUACCGAAGAAUGUUAUCACGGGAGACACACGGCGGGUGCUAACGUCCGUCGUGAAGAGGGAAACAACCCAGACCGCCAGCUAAGGUCCCAAAGUCAUGGUUAAGUGGGAAACGAUGUGGGAAGGCCCAGACAGCCAGGAUGUUGGCUUAGAAGCAGCCAUCAUUUAAAGAAAGCGUAAUAGCUCACUGGUCGAGUCGGCCUGCGCGGAAGAUGUAACGGGGCUAAACCAUGCACCGAAGCUGCGGCAGCGACGCUUAUGCGUUGUUGGGUAGGGGAGCGUUCUGUAAGCCGUUGAAGGUGGCCUGUGAGGGUUGCUGGAGGUAUCAGAAGUGCGAAUGCUGACAUAAGUAACGAUAAUGCGGGUGAAAAACCCGCACGCCGGAAGACCAAGGGUUCCUGUCCAACGUUAAUCGGGGCAGGGUGAGUCGACCCCUAAGGCGAGGCCGAAAGGCGUAGUCGAUGGGAAACAGGUUAAUAUUCCUGUACUCGGUGUUACUGCGAAGGGGGGACGGAGAAGGCUAUGUUGGCCGGGCGACGGUUGUCCCGGUUUAAGCAUGUAGGCGGAUGUUCCAGGUAAAUCCGGAACGUUACUAACGCUGAGGUGUGAUGACGAGGCACUACGGUGCUGAAGUGACAAAUGCCCUGCUUCCAGGAAAAGCCUCUAAGCAUCAGGUAACAUCAAAUCGUACCCCAAACCGACACAGGUGGUCAGGUAGAGAAUACCAAGGCGCUUGAGAGAACUCGGGUGAAGGAACUAGGCAAAAUGGUGCCGUAACUUCGGGAGAAGGCACGCUGAUGGUA
rnacentral:rRNA from 1 species